CUCCUUAGUAUUUUCUUGAAAUUUGAAGAAAAAAGAAAAAAAUCAAUCUUUUUGCAUUUUGGUGUAGUAAAAAUCUAAUCUUGCUGGAUACCCAUCUAUGUUCUUGGUUUGAUUCUUGAUUUUUGCACCCUUUUUAGUUUAAUCAAGUUUAGUUUAAGUUGUAUCAGCUAUAUUUUGCUAGAUCUGCUUUAAUGGGUAUUUGUGCUAGUAAAGGUAAACCUAAUAAUGCUAAUAAUGGGCACCAUGGAUCAGGAUCAGGAGGAGUUCCAAUUCAUAGAAAUGAGAUUCAGUAUACCAAAUCUCCAGGGCCUGAAGCUCAAUUACAUGUGAGACCUCCACCAAGCCCAAAACCAGCUGUGAGGUAUGAUACUAUUCUUGGUAAGCCAUAUGAAGAUGUUAAGUUGCACUAUACUCUUGGUAAAGAAUUGGGUAGGGGUCAAUUUGGUGUUACAUAUCUUUGUACUGAAAUUGCAACUGGUCAACAAUAUGCUUGUAAAUCGAUAUCGAAAAAGAAGCUUGUUACUAAGGCUGAUAAGGAUGAUAUGAGGAGGGAGAUUAAGAUUAUGCAGCAUUUGAGUGGACAACCUAAUAUUGUUGAAUUUAAAGGUGCUUAUGAGGAUAAAGGUUCAGUGUAUCUUGUGAUGGAGUUGUGUGGAGGGGGAGAGCUAUUCGAUAGGAUUAUAGCAAAGGGGCAUUACAGUGAAAGAGCUGCUGCAACAAUGUGUAGGGCUAUUGUCAAUGUUGUGCACGUUUGCAAUUUUAUGGGCGUGUUGCAUCGUGAUCUCAAGCCUGAAAACUUUUUGUUGUCUGAUAAGAGUGAAAAUGCUGCUCUAAAGAUUACUGAUUUUGGGCUGUCGGUAUUCAUUCAAGAAGGUAAGUCGUACAAAGAUAUAGUUGGGAGUGCUUACUAUGUUGCCCCUGAGGUUCUAAGGAGGUGUUAUGGCAAGGAAAUAGACAUUUGGAGUGCAGGAAUCAUGCUGUAUAUCUUGCUUAGUGGUGUA
rnacentral:misc_RNA from 1 species